rnacentral:rRNA from 1 species
AUUGAACGCUGGCGGCAGGCCUAACACAUGCAAGUCGAGCGGCAGCGGGAAAGUAGCUUGCUACUUUUGCCGGCGAGCGGCGGACGGGUGAGUAACGCCUGGGAAAUUGCCCAGUCGAGGGGGAUAACAGUUGGAAACGACUGCUAAUACCGCAUACGCCCUACGGGGGAAAGCAGGGGACCUUCGGGCCUUGCGCGAUUGGGUAUUCUCCGGUGGGAUUAGCUAGUUGGUGAGGUAAUGGCUCACCAAGGCGACGAUCCCUAGCUGGUCUGGGAGGAUGAUCAGCCACACUGGAACUGAGCCGCGGUACAGACUCCAACGGGAGGAAGCAGGGGGGAAUAUUGCACAAUGGGGGAAACCCCGAUGCAGCCAUGCCGCGUGUGUGAAGAAGGCCUUCGGGUUGUAAAGCACUUUCAGCGAGGAGGAAAGGUUGAUGCCUAAUACGUAUCAACUGUGACGUUACUCGCAGAAGAAGCACCGGCUAACUCCGUGCCAGCAGCCGCGGUAACAC